rnacentral:rRNA from 1 species
AUUGAACGCUAGCGGGAUGCUUUACACAUGCAAGUCGAACGAGUGGCGGACGGGUGAGUAAUAUAUCGGAACGUGCCCAGUAGCGGGGGAUAACUACUCGAAAGAGUUGCUAAUACCGCAUACUAUUGUAGCGGCCGAUGUAGGAUUAGCUAGUUGGUGGGUUAAAGGCUCACCAAGGCCACGAUCCGUAGCUGGUUUUAGAGGACGACCAGCCACACUGGCACUGAGAUGCGGCCCAGACUCCUACGGGAGGCAGCAGUGGGGAAUUUGGGACAAUAGGGGAAACCCUUCUCCAGCAAUGCCGUGUGGAUGAGAAGGCCUUCGGGUUGUAAAGUACUUUUGGCAGAGAAGCGGUAUCUGCAGAAUAAGCACCGGCUAACUACGUGCCAGCAGCCGCGGUAAUUC